rnacentral:rRNA from 1 species
UACAGAGGUCUCAAGCGUUGUUCGGAUUCAUUGGGCGUAAAGGGUGUGUAGGUGGCGCGCUAAGUCGGGUGUGAAAUUUCGGAGCUUAACUCCGAAACUGCAUUCGAUACUGGCGUGCUUGAGGACUGGAGAGGAGACUGGAAUUCAUGGUGUAGCAGUGAAAUGCGUAGAGAUCAUGAGGAAGACCAGUGGCGAAGGCGGCUCUCUGGAACGCAACUGACGCUGAGACGCGAAAGCGUGGGGAGCAAACAGG